rnacentral:rRNA from 1 species
AUACGUAGGUGGCAAGCGUUGUCCGGAUUUAUUGGGCGUAAAGCGAGCGCAGGCGGUUUCUUAAGUCUGAUGUGAAAGCCCUCGGCUCAACCGGGGAGGGUCAUUGGAAACUGGGAGACUUGAGUGCAGAAGAGGAGAGUGGAAUUCCAUGUGUAGCGGUGAAAUGCGUAGAUAUAUGGAGGAACACCAGUGGCGAAGGCGGCUCUCUGGUCUGUAACUGACGCUGAGGCUCGAAAGCGUGGGGAGCAAACAGGUUUAGAUACCCUGGUAGUCCACGCCGUAAACGAUGAGUGCUAAGUGUUGGAGGGUUUCCGCCCUUCAGUGCUGCAGCAAACGCAUUAAGCACUCCGCCUGGGGAGUACGACCGCAAGGUUGAAACUCAAAUGAAUUGACGGGG